rnacentral:rRNA from 1 species
AUUGAACGCUGGCGGCAUGCUUUACACAUGCAAGUCGAACGGCAGCACGGGUGCUUGCACCUGGUGGCGAGUGGCGGACGGGUGAGUAAUACAUCGGAACGUGUCCUGAAGUGGGGGAUAACGCAUCGAAAGAUGUGCUAAUACCGCAUAAUCUCUAAGGAGAAAAGUAGGGGAUCGAAAGACCUUAUGCUUUUGGAGCGGCCGAUGUCUGAUUAGCUAGUUGGUAAGGUAAUGGCUUACCAAGGCGACGAUCAGUAGUUGGUCUGAGAGGACGGCCAGCCACACUGGGACUGAGACACGGCCCAGACUCCUACGGGAGGCAGCAGUGGGGAAUUUUGGACAAUGGGCGCAAGCCUGAUCCAGCAAUGCCGCGUGAGUGAAGAAGGCCUUCGGUUGGUUAAAGUACGUCUUUCUAGUUGUAAAAGAAAAAAUAACAAUAGACUAAUAAA